UCAAUGGUGAAGAGGUCUCCUAUGUCCCUU
rnacentral:piRNA from 1 species